AAGGAUAUGGUGAAAAGGUAAACACGUUUGAUUUAGGCUCAAAAUACUGUAGGUUCGAUCCCUAUUAUUCUUA
rnacentral:tRNA from 1 species